AAAGAUCAAAAGGAUUUCUUAAGAAAAUAAAUAAAAUAAAAUAAUACUCUGUUAGGGGCGCAGAGAAUGAAAGAGGGAAUGUGAAUAACAUCAUGGCGUUGGGCCCAUGGGAGUGAGGCCCAAGCCAUUAUUGUUGUUUUUGUUAAUUCAUAACUAGGGGUGAGGUUGGUAAUAUAAGGUGCAGUGUAAGUAAAGGCUAAUAGGCCUUACGUUUAUGGCCCAUGAGAGAAACGCGUAAGGGGAAAGUUGAGAAACCCUCUAUCAUUCCAAUCUCACUUGCCUCUGUC
rnacentral:lncRNA from 1 species